GUUAUACCCUUAAGAAUAAUGGUCGGCCCCCUAGGUCGCUGAAAAGCAAUCCCUUGAAUUCCCUAAAUUACCGGUCUCGUAAACCGGCAGAUUUACCAGCACGCAAUUGACUUUGUUGGUGCGACGUGAGUAACGUAAAAACUUGCUCACGUAGGGCACUUGGAAACAAAGCUAACCGAUUUGAUUAUGGCAUCUAAAAUUGAAGUAAUCCCUUGAGAGAGCUUUCGUUCUUUUAGCUAUUGGAGAGGUAACGCUUCCCAAGGCGUUAUGGGUAGCCGGCUGAGAAGGGUGAACGGCCACCAAGGGGACUGAGGACACGGCCCUUUCUCCUACGGAGGCAGCAGUGGGGAAUAUUGGACAAUGGACCGAGAGUCUGAUCCAGCAAUUCUGUGUGCACGAUGAAGUUUUUCGGAAUGUAAAGUGCUUUCAGUUGGGAAGAAAAAAAAUGACGGUACCAACAGAAGAAGUGACGGCUAAAUACGUGCCAGCAGCCGCGGUAAUACGUAUGUCACGAGCGUUAUCCGGAUUUAUUGGGCGUAAAGCGCGUCUAGGUGGUUAUGUAAGUCUGAUGUGAAAAUGCAGGGCUCAACUCUGUAUUGCGUUGGAAACUGUAUAACUAGAGUACUGGAGAGGUAAGCGGAACUACAAGUGUAGAGGUGAAAUUCGUAGAUAUUUGUAGGAAUGCCGAUGGGGAAGCCAGCUUACUGGACAGAUACUGACGCUGAAGCGCGAAAGCGUGGGUAGCAAACAGG
rnacentral:rRNA from 1 species